rnacentral:tRNA from 1 species
UCUACAAUAGCUUAAUGGUAGAGCCGUAGGUUGUUAACCCACCCAAUUUAGGUUCGACUCCUAAUUGUAGAG